UAUUUAGGACUAAUUUUAACUCUCUUUUAAACCUUAUGAUUAAUUCUCCUUAAUUAUUUUGUAAAUAAUGUAGUAUGGAGCUCUUAGAAGGAAAAUUGGUGGAACAUACAAGGACUUUUUCAAAUCUUAUGUUGAAGUGGAUGGGGCAUAUGUUGAAGAGGGUGGGGUAGACAAAACGUGCAAGGUUUGCAAAAAGGACACGAAGGGUGAAAAGCAAGGCAAGUGGACCAAAACUGGCAACUUCUUUACUAGACUGUACUCUUAAUGAAACAUCAUUUGACAUGGUAUUGUAGUGGAUGGAGAAGAGACGUUUACUCAUUAUCAUUUCAAUACAAAAAGUAAAAAAUUUAGUAUAA